rnacentral:tRNA from 1 species
CGGGGUGUGGCUCAGCCUGGUAGAGCACCUGCUUCGGGAGCAGGAGGUCAGCGGUUCAAAUCCGCUCACCCCGACCA